CCUGGAUGACAACUCGCGUGAACCUUGGGCUUUUAACUCGCAUCAGUACUUCACUGCGCGUAAUACAUCAUUGAAUUUGUAGUUAAAUGGUAACUACCAGAUUGACAGAAGUUCUAAACCGUUUGAAUAAAAAAUAUGCCUCGAUGAAUUAGUCCAUACAGAUAAAUAGAGAUGACUAUCUAGAAACGUAAAGAAAUAUAAGGAAGAAUGCUGCGUUUUAUAAAAAGCACAUUGAAUUCGUGGUAUAUGCAGUACGAAUUAAUCACUUGUACGUACAUUUUUGAACCCUGGGAGAAAUUUCUUCUAAAUAUCUCUGUUUUAUGUAUUUUCCUAUUAAUGUGUUAUUCCAGUUUGGUGUACUUACCACCGUACAUGGGCUCGCUUUUAGAAGAAAUGAAAAAAAUCUGGGUAUAAUUAAUAUAAAAAUAUAUAAGUAUAUAUAAUAUAAAAA